AGCUCAAUGAAAUCCAUCUGCAGAUCUCUUCAUCCGCGUAGCUCACCCUCCGUUGCACCUGUUUGAAUCAAAAGGAAGGUGGGCGGAGUCAGGGAAGAGGCGUUCAUCCUGGCCAGGAGUCAUGGCAACGAGGAGGGUAGGCGGAGUCAUGACAGAGGCGCUCACCCUGGCCAGGAGCCAUGGCAACGAGGAGGGUAGGCGGAGUCAUGACAGAGGCGCUCACCCUGGCCAGGAGCCAUAGCAGCAGGGGAGUUGGGUGGAUC